rnacentral:rRNA from 1 species
UACGUAGGGGGCAAGCGUUGUCCGGAAUUAUUGGGCGUAAAGAGCGUGUAGGCGGCCAGGUAGGUCUGCUGUGAAAACUCGAGGCUCAACCUCGAGCUGUCGGUGGAAACCAUCUGGCUAGAGUCCGGAAGAGGAGAAUGGAAUUCCUGGUGUAGCGGUGAAAUGCGCAGAUAUCAGGAAGAACACCCGUGGCGAAGGCGGUUCUCUGGGAAGGUACUGACGCUGAGACGCGAAAGCGUGGGGAGCAAACAGG